UUUCAAUCCGAUUCAAAUUGUAUAUCUAUUCAUUUCUAACUUCAUAAGCAAAAAUGUUUAACAACUACUUCACAUUACAAUACUUUCCAACAUUUACAAUACAUUACAUCAUUCAAACUAACAUUCAUCCAUUACAAACCUAAACCAAGUUCAAUUUCCAACCAUCAUAAAUCAUUUCUAAUUUAUCCAAACACAUAUUACAUUCAACCAAAAUACUAAUUCCCAUUUCCAAACAUAUGAACCAACUACAUUCAUCUUCAUUUAAAGGAUAAUUCCAAACCAAUUCCAAUUUAAAUGUUUCAAAUUCAUUCACUUGCAACUUCCAUUCACAAACCUAAUAGUUCAAAAUUACAAACAAUUUCAUUCCAAAACAAUUCAUUCUAUUACAAAUCCAACAUUCAAUUUUCUAACACAAAAAUCAUUCAUAAACCAAAUACCAAUUGACCAUUACAUCCAAUUUCUAAUCCAUUUCUAUACAUACAAAAACCCUACCGAUACAAUUCAAGUCAAAGGUCCAAAACAUAAGCAAUCCAAAUCAAAGUGUUCCACCAUGGCAGCCAAUGCAUUUCAAGGCAGCCAAUGAAGAGUUUCAUAACCUGUAGAGAUAGCAACUCAGUCCAAAGUCCAAACCG
rnacentral:lncRNA from 1 species